GAGGAUAUGAUGAUCAUUUCCUGAUGAUUGGCAAUGAACAUGUUGAGCGCUAUUAUUUCUCUUCACAGAAACCAAGCCAGUAUUCGGAUCCUC
rfam:Triticum aestivum genome assembly, contig: Triticum_aestivum_CS42_TGACv1_scaffold_021597_1AS